AAAAAAAAAAGCAAAAAGAAAAAAAAAAGUUUGCAAGAAUUUAGUUGAGUAUUCAAAAUGCUUAAAGCUGAAUUUUACAUCUGAAGGACAAACAGUCUGCUUCUAUAUAUUUCAUAUCUACAUGAAGCUUUGUCUAUGUCGCUUGCCAAGCUGAUGAUAUUUGCAAAUGCAUCUUAUAGUUAAAAAGGUCAGAAUCAUCAU
rnacentral:misc_RNA from 1 species